AAAGAAAGCCGGAAUAGCU
rnacentral:tRNA from 1 species